rnacentral:rRNA from 1 species
GGGUCAGUAGGUUGGUCGUGCCACCGGUACGUACUGGUCUCACUGAUUCCUCCUUCCUGAAGAACCGUAAUGCCAUUAAUUUGGUGUUGCGGGGAAACAGGACUGCUACUUUGGAAAAAUUAGAGUGUUUAAAGCAAGCUAACGCUUGAAUACAUUAGCAUAGAAUAAUGAAAUAGGACGAUCGAUCCUAUUUUGUUGGUUUCUAGGAUUGACGUA